UUGCCAGCCUCUUGGAGGAGAGCCCUACCGCCUCACACUGGGCAUCUGCAGAAGCUGGGGCUGAUGUAGGCACAGGGUCAGAGAGACAUACCUGGAAGCGGACGGCCGAGGACUUGUUGCAGUGCAUGGAGAUGGGGGCAGAGUCAUACAAGGCCUUGAGGACGUCGCGGCUGAAGGAGUUCCAGGGGACAGAGGCAAACUGCUGGGGCACGGAGGCCUGAGGGCAGGAAGUAAUGAGCACAUCUCCCUGCAGAACCAAGCCAACAGACACCUGUCAGCACCUGCCCACGUGGGGGAACAGGUGCGCUAGGCCUGUCCCAUCAGUCAUUACUGAGGAGCCCAGCUGUGAUGGUUACAAUCUGAGUCCCCAGGGAGUGACUACCUGUUGGCUUCUGAGGCUUCUUAGUACGUGGGCCACAGGCAGGCCGGCUAGUGGUUGUGUGGACUAGUGAACUUAGGCAAGCCCCACCUGGCCUGGGCUCCCUUCUGCGUUAUUCGAAGCCCCACCGGUGAUUUCCAUGCCCUCAUCUUCCCCUGAAGCCCUCGGGCUUUGUGUUCAGCUGACCAGGAAGGCAGAUGCACAUCGCCUGGAAUGCCAUCUGGUCCCACCCCCUUCGAGACCUCUUCUGUGAAGUGCUGGUGAGUCUCACCGUGGGACGGCCCAGCCCUUGCCCUGCACAGACAUGGCUGUAGAAGACCUUCGCACUGGCCCUGCCCACCCACCCCCAUCACUCUCUGUCUCUGCCCUCUGGGGACCGCACUCCCAGCUCU